UACGUAGGUCCCGAGCGUUGUCCGGAUUUAUUGGGCGUAAAGCGAGCGCAGGUGGUUUAUUAAGUCUGGUGUAAAAGGCAGUGGCUCAACCAUUGUAUGCAUUGGAAACUGGUGGACUUGAGUGCAGGAGAGGAGAGUGGAAUUCCAUGUGUAGCGGUGAAAUGCGUAGAUAUAUGGAGGAACACCGGUGGCGAGAGCGGCUCUCUGGCCUGUAACUGACACUGAGGCUCGAAAGCGUGGGGAGCAAACAGG
rnacentral:rRNA from 1 species